rnacentral:lncRNA from 1 species
GGGGCGAGUCGUCCACAGGUCACCAGAAAAUAAUUAUAUCACCGUCGUCGCAGAAGGCGACGAGAAUGUGGAAAUAAAAAUAAGAAAAAGGGGAAACAACAAGAAAAGUGCGAGAGAUAAUCAGAAGACGGGAGAAUUCUGUGGAUCACCAUUCGGAUGCGCUGAUCCAUAAAAGUGUCGCCGUGAUCCAGACGAUUUCGGAAACCCUCCGCGACCGGGAGGUGGCGGUCGCGAAUCAGGAGAGAGAGGUAACAAAGCGAGAGACCCUUCUUCUACGGGCCGUCAUUGGUGAAGACCUCCAGGAGGAGUCGGCGGCAGAGGAGGCGGAGGAGGAGGUGGGCGCGAGAGUGGACCAGGGGAGGGAAGUCGCCGCGGAGGGGCGAGUCGUCCACAGGUCACCAGAAAAUAAUUAUAUCACCGUCGUCGCAGAAGGCGACGAGAAUGUGGAAAUAAAAAUAAGAAAAAGGGGAAACAACAAGAAAAGUGCGAGAGAUAAUCAGAAGACGGGAGAAUUCUGUGGAUCACCAUUCGGAUGCGCUGAUCCAUAAAAGUGUCGCCGUGAUCCAGACGAUUUCGGAAACCCUCCGCGACCGGGAGGUGGCGGUCGCGAAUCAGGAGAGAGAGGUAACAAAGCGAGAGACCCUUCUUCUACGGGCCGUCAUUGGUGAAGACCUCCAGGA